rnacentral:tRNA from 1 species
CAACCGAUAGCUCAGCGGGCAGAGCGGUCGGCUCUGCACCCGACAGGACGCCGGUUCGAGCCCGGUUCGGUUGA